AACACUGAGUGGUAGAGCAAAGAUUGUUCACCUACAACCUAUGACCUGCUUUAGAGGUCAGGCCAUAUACAAACACAUGGAGAUGCACAGGGAGACACACACAUACGACUCCAGGAGGAGGGAGGGACGGUUGCCGAGGAAGUCCUGGUUGCCAAGGGUGUGGAGCGGUGGGGGAUCCCGUUUCACCAGAGAGAGGAGAGGUGAGGCUAGGAGGUGUGUCCAGGGAGAAUACAGGUGUGGAGCGGUGGGGGAUCCCGUUUCACCAGAGAGAGGAGAGGUGAGGCUAGGAGGUGUGUCCAGGGAGAAUACAGGUGUGGAGCGGUGGGGGAUCCCGUUUCACCAGAGAGAGGAGAGGUGAGGCUAGGAGGUGUGUCCAGGGAGAAUACAGGUGUGGAGCGGUGGGGGAUCCCGUUUCACCAGAGAGAGGAGAGGUGAGGCUAGGAGGUGUGUCCAGGGAGAAUACAGGUGUGGAGCGGUGGGGGAUCCCGUUUCACCAGAGAGAGGAGAGGUGAGGCUAGGAGGUGUGUCCAGGGAGAAUACAGGUGUGGAGCGGUGGGGGAUCCCGUUUCACCAGAGAGAGGAGAGGUGAGGCUAGGAGGUGUGUCCAGGGAGAAUACAGGUGUGGAGCGGUGGGGGAUCCCGUUUCACCAGAGAGAGGAGAGGUGAGGCUAGGAGGUGUGUCCAGGGAGAAUACAGGUGUGGAGCGGUGGGGGAUCCCGUUUCACCAGAGAGAGGAGAGGUGAGGCUAGGAGGUGUGUCCAUUGAGAAUACAGGUGUGGAGCGGUGGGGGAUCCCGUUUCACCAGAGAGAGGAGAGGUGAGGCUAGGAGGUGUGUCCAGGGAGAAUACAGGUGUGGAGCGGUGGGGGAUCCCGUUUCACCAGAGAGAGGAGAGGUGAGGCUAGGAGGUGUGUCCAUUGAGAAUACAGGUGUGGAGCGGUGGGGGAUCCCGUUUCACCAGAGAGAGGAGAGGUGAGGCUAGGAGGUGUGUCCAUUGAGAAUACAGGUGCCAGUUCAUGGCUACUGAACCAUCUGGCUUGGGUGUGGUUUCACUAACAGUAUAUGUCUAAUACAUCUCAUCUCCUCUCUUCACCCCACCUCUCCUCUCCCCUCUCCUCCUAUCUCAUCCUCUCCUCCUCCUCUCCUCCUAUCUCA